rnacentral:lncRNA from 1 species
UGUUAAUACCAACCAACAACAAAGUUAAGUUGUCAGAAGCUCAGGUGCAGCAGCAGCAGGUGGACGUGGACGAGACAGUCAGAAAGUGCAGAGGACAAGUGGUCAGUACAAUAACCAGUGUUCGGAUUGAUCUACAUCAGCAGUUUGAUCGUGUGACAAUGAAGCUGGUACCAGCCCUUUUCCUCCUGCUGGCUCCACUGUUGACCAGCUGCUCAGAGCUCUACAGACCAGUGGACUGCAGCAACAUCCGUC